CGGCUGUAGCCAAAUUAAAUCGAAGGAGCUUACUGGCCGGUUAUUGUGUUUCUGUCGAUAAAUCUGCUUACCGAGCUUCUCACAUUU